rnacentral:rRNA from 1 species
GGAGAAAAGCAGGGGAUCGAAAGACCUUGCGCUUUUGGAGCGGCCGAUGUCUGAUUAGCUAGUUGGUGGGGUAAUGGCCUACCAAGGCGACGAUCAGUUGUUGGUCUGAGAGGACGACCAGCCACACUGGGACUGAGACACGGCCCAGACUCCUACGGGAGGCAGCAGUGGGGAAUUUUGGACAAUGGGCGCAAGCCUGAUCCAGCAAUGCCGCGUGAGUGAAGAAGGCCUUCGGGUUGUAAAGCUCUUUCAGUCGAGAAGAAAAGGCUGCAGUGAAUAACUGUAGUUUAUGACGGUAUCGACAGAAGAAGCACCGGCUAACUACGUGCCAGCAGCCGCGGUAAUACGUAGGGUGCGAGCGUUAAUCGGAAUUACUGGGCGUAAAGGGUGCGCAGG